rnacentral:rRNA from 1 species
UAAUACGUAGGUGGCAAGCGUUGUCCGGAUUUAUUGGGUUUAAAGGGUGCGUAGGCGGUCUAUUAAGUCAGUGGUGAAAUACUCCAGCUUAACUGGAGGGGUGCCAUUGAUACUGAUGGACUUGAGUCAAGUCGAGGUAGGCGGAAUUGACGGUGUAGCGGUGAAAUGCUUAGAUAUCGUCAAGAACACCAAUAGUGAAGACAGCUUACUAGGCUUAAACUGACGCUGAGGCACGAAAGUGUGGGGAUCAAACAGGAUUAGAUACCCUGGUAGUCCACACUGUAAACGUUGAUUACUCGCUGUUGGCGAUACACAGCCAGCGGCCAAGCGCAAGCGAUAAGUAAUCCACCUGGGGAGUACGCCGGCAACGGUG